UACGGGGGGGGCAAGCGUUGUUCGGAAUUACUGGGCGUAAAGGGCUCGUAGGUGGCCAACUAAGUCAGACGUGAAAUCCCUCGGCUUAACCGGGGAACUGCGUCUGAUACUGGAUGGCUUGAGUUCGGGAGAGGGAUGCGGAAUUCCUGGUGUAGCGGUGAAAUGCGCAGAUAUCAGGAAGAACACCCGUGGCGAAGGCGGCUCUCUGGAACGCAACUGACGCUGAGACGCGAAAGCGUGGGGAGCAAACAGG
rnacentral:rRNA from 1 species